UACAGAGGGGGCAAGCGUUGUUCGGAAUUACUGGGCGUAAAGGGCGCGUAGGCGGCCUGUUAAGUCGAACGUGAAAUCCCCGGGCUCAACCCGGGAACUGCGUCCGAUACUGGCAGGCUUGAAUUCGGGAGAGGGAUGUGGAAUUCCAGGUGUAGCAGUGAAAUGCGUAGAUAUCGUGAGGAACACCAGAGGCGAAGGCGGUUACCUGGACAGUUACUGACGCUCAGGCACGAAAGCAUGGGGAGCAAAAGGG
rnacentral:rRNA from 1 species